ACAUUGUGCCAUUGGGUCCUUUCCCUUUGGCACGUCUGGCUGAGGGUCGUAA
rnacentral:rRNA from 1 species